AUGACUGACCGUGAGCUUCUCCUCAGUCUUCAUCAGAAGGUUGAUCGCAAUCAUAAAUGGGUCAAGCGUCAGUUUGGUUCAAUUCUUCACAACAUGACUGCUACCCACAAUGCAGUGAAGAAAAACCACUACUACCUUCAUGAAACUCUCAACCGCACCUGGGCUGUUCUGUCUCAAGUCUAUAGUGAAGAAGAUCUGAAGAAAAUGGGUCUCAAGGAAGAUCUUGAUUGGGCUGCACCUCCUCCGAAGAAGUACAAGAAGGUCAAGGUUCCUUCCUUGGUGGCCAGCUCCUAUUCUUCAUCACGUGACACUGAUGAACAUGAAGACUUGGACGACACUGCCGCAGGCCCUACUACAACAAACGACCCCAACAACGCUGAUGCUCCUUCAUCACCUUGA
rnacentral:rRNA from 1 species